rnacentral:tRNA from 1 species
GCCCGGUUAGCUCAGUUGGUAGAGCAUCAGACUUUUAAUCGGAGGCCAUGGGUUCGAGUCCCAUAUCGGGCU